rnacentral:rRNA from 1 species
UACGGAGGGUGCGAGCGUUGUCCGGAAUCACUGGGCGUAAAGGGCGCGUAGGCGGCCUGGCAAGUCGAUGGUGAAAGCCCGAGGCUCAACUUCGGGUCGGCCACUGAUACUGCUAGGCUUGAGUCGACUAGAGGCAGAUGGAAUUCCGGGUGUAGCGGUGAAAUGCGCAGAUAUCAGGAGGAACACCGGUGGCGAAGGCGGGUCUCUGGGCCGAUAUCGACGCUGAGGAGCGAAAGCGUGGGGAGCGAACAGG